GAUGAACGCUGGCGGCGUGCUUAACACAUGCUAGUCGAACGGAAAGGCCCCUUCUUGCAGCGGUAGUCGAGUGGCGAACGGGUGAGUAACACGUGGGUGAUGUGCCCUGCACUUCGGGAUAAGCCUGGGAAACUGGGUCUAAUACCGGCUAGGACGAUGGUUUGGUUGAUAUUUUGGAAAGUUUUUCGGUGUGGGAUUAGCUCGCGGCCUAUCAGCUCGUUGGUGGGGUAAUGGCCUACCAAGGUGUUGACGGGUAGCCGGCCUGAGAGAGUGCACGACCACAAUGGGUGUGAGUGACGCCCCAGCCAGCCACGGGCGGCAAGAGUGGGGGGGAGUGCGUGAUGAGCGCGAGCAUGCUGGAGCGACGACGGGUGGGUGAGGGAGGCAUUCGGGAUGUAUGCAAAGUUCGCUAGGCACGGAGAAAAAGUGCAGGUACCUGAAAAAGAAGCACCGACAAACUACGG
rnacentral:rRNA from 1 species